rnacentral:misc_RNA from 1 species
UAAAAUUAUUUGUCCAACAUGACACGCAUAACAAUAGAACAGCUUUACUCUAAACAUUUCACAGCAGUCAAAUGCCACUGCAGUGGUGAUGGCAAUGCAAUGGCUACUAUAGUAACUUGAACUGACAAAAAAAAUAGGAACAUCAAAGUAGAGUACUGAAUAUAUAGUUGAAUUCCUCUUCCAAUGCCAAAUUACUUUUUCCACCUUACUAUUUUGGAACAUCCCAAAAAUUGCCCAUCAUUUUUUUUCCUAUGAUGAGAUAUGAUGAAAUUAACUAGAUAAACAUGGCUUCAAUUUAAUUAAACUAUAAGAAUUUGCACUCUAACAAGGAUGAACACAUGCACAAAAGCAUCUUUUAGGGAAAUGAGCCGUAGGACAAGAUGCAGCACAUUUUCCAAAAAUCAAAACUAAACCCCAUGCCAGGAGGAUGAACCUCUACCUGCUUAAUGUUGCCUAGCCCAUUUCCAAGUGUAAGCCUUCACAACCUAUCAUUCAAACUAUAGAGAAUCCAUAUACACAAGCACAAACUCUUGCACAUAAGCCUAGCACAAAUGAUAAAAAUCUAACUCUAAAUUUCAUAAGUAAGCCAUAAAAUUGAAUAACAGAAUCCCACCUCUAACUUUUUCUGCAGUUA